rnacentral:rRNA from 1 species
UACGUAGGGUGCAAGCGUUGUCCGGAAUUAUUGGGCGUAAAGAGCUCGUAGGCGGUUUGUCGCGUCUGCUGUGAAAACUCGGGGCUUAACUCCGGGCCUGCAGUGGGUACGGGCAGACUAGAGUGCGGUAGGGGAGACUGGAAUUCCUGGUGUAGCGGUGGAAUGCGCAGAGUAUCAGGAGGAACACCGGUGGCGAAGGCGGGUCUCUGGGCAGUAACUGACGCUGAGGAGCGAAAGCGUGGGGAGCAAACAGG